CCGGCGAUGUCCGAAUGGGGAAACCCAGUGUGAUUCGUCACACUAUCGUUAACUGAAUACAUAGGUUAACGAGGCGAACCGGGGGAACUGAAACAUCUAAGUACCCCGAGGAAAAGAAAUCAACCGAGAUUCCCCCAGUAGCGGCGAGCGAACGGGGAGCAGCCCAGAGUCUGAAUCAGCUUGUGUGUUAGUGGAACGGUCUGGAAAGUCCGACGGUACAGGGUGAUAGUCCCGUACACCAAAAUGCACAGGCUGUGAACUCGAAGAGUAGGGCGGGACACGUGGUAUCCUGUCUGAAUAUGGGGGGACCAUCCUCCAAGGCUAAAUACUCCUGACUGACCGAUAGUGAACCAGUACCGUGAGGGAAAGGCGAAAAGAACCCCGGCGAGGGGAGUGAAAAAGAACCUGAAACCGUGUACGUACAAGCAGUGGGAGCACCUUCGGGUGUGACUGCGUACCUUUUGUAUAAUGGGUCAGCGACUUAUAUUCUGUAGCAAGGUUAACCGUAUAGGGGAGCCGCAGGGAAACCGAGUCUUAACUGGGCGUUAAGUUGCAGGGUAUAGACCCGAAACCCGGUGAUCUAGCCAUGGGCAGGUUGAAGGUUGGGUAACACUAACUGGAGGACCGAACCGACUAAUGUUGAAAAAUUAGCGGAUGACUUGUGGCUGGGGGUGAAAGGCCAAUCAAACCGGGAGAUAGCUGGUUCUCCCCGAAAGCUAUUUAGGUAGCGCCUCGUGAACUCAUCUUCGGGGGUAGAGCACUGUUUCGGCUAGGGGGUCAUCCCGACUUACCAACCCGAUGCAAACUACGAAUACCGAAGAAUGUUAUCACGGGAGACACACGGCGGGUGCUAACGUCCGUCGUGAAGAGGGAAACAACCCAGACCGCCAGCUAAGGUCCCAAAGUCAUGGUUAAGUGGGAAACGAUGUGGGAAGGCACAGACAGCCAGGAUGUUGGCUUAGAAGCAGCCAUCAUUUAAAGAAAGCGUAAUAGCUCACUGGUCGAGUCGGCCUGCGCGGAAGAUGUAACGGGGCUAAACCAUGCACCGAAGCUGCGGCAGCGACACUAUGUGUUGUUGGGUAGGGGAGCGUUCUGUAAGCCUGCGAAGGUGUGCUGUGAGGCAUGCUGGAGGUAUCAGAAGUGCGAAUGCUGACAUAAGUAACGAUAAAGCGGGUGAAAAGCCCGCUCGCCGGAAGACCAAGGGUUCCUGUCCAACGUUAAUCGGGGCAGGGUGAGUCGACCCCUAAGGCGAGGCCGAAAGGCGUAGUCGAUGGGAAACAGGUUAAUAUUCCUGUACUUGGUGUUACUGCGAAGGGGGGACGGAGAAGGCUAUGUUAGCCGGGCGACGGUUGUCCCGGUUUAAGCAUGUAGGCUGGUUGUCCAGGCAAAUCCGGAUAAUCAAGGCUGAGGUGUGAUGACGAGGCACUACGGUGCUGAAGUAACAAAUGCCCUGCUUCCAGGAAAAGCCUCUAAGCAUCAGGUAACAUUAAAUCGUACCCCAAACCGACACAGGUGGUCAGGUAGAGAAUACCAAGGCGCUUGAGAGAACUCGGGUGAAGGAACUAGGCAAAAUGGUGCCGUAACUUCGGGAGAAGGCACGCUGGUGUGUAGGUGAAGUCCCUGCGGAUGGAGCUGAGACCAGUCGAAGAUACCAGCUGGCUGCAACUGUUUAUUAAAAACACAGCACUGUGCAAACACGAAAGUGGACGUAUACGGUGUGACGCCUGCCCGGUGCCGGAAGGUUAAUUGAUGGGGUUAUCCGUAAGGAGAAGCUCUUGAUCGAAGCCCCGGUAAACGGCGGCCGUAACUAUAACGGUCCUAAGGUAGCGAAAUUCCUUGUCGGGUAAGUUCCGACCUGCACGAAUGGCGUAAUGAUGGCCAGGCUGUCUCCACCCGAGACUCAGUGAAAUUGAACUCGCUGUGAAGAUGCAGUGUACCCGCGGCAAGACGGAAAGACCCCGUGAACCUUUACUAUAGCUUGACACUGAACAUUGAGCCUUGAUGUGUAGGAUAGGUGGGAGGCUUUGAAGCGUGGACGCCAGUCUGCGUGGAGCCAACCUUGAAAUACCACCCUUUAAUGUUUGAUGUUCUAACGUUGGCCCCUGACCGGGGUUGCGGACAGUGUCUGGUGGGUAGUUUGACUGGGGCGGUCUCCUCCCAAAGCGUAACGGAGGAGCACGAAGGUUAGCUAAUCCUGGUCGGACAUCAGGAGGUUAGUGCAAUGGCAUAAGCUAGCUUGACUGCGAGCGUGACGGCGCGAGCAGGUGCGAAAGCAGGUCAUAGUGAUCCGGUGGUUCUGAAUGGAAGGGCCAUCGCUCAACGGAUAAAAGGUACUCCGGGGAUAACAGGCUGAUACCGCCCAAGAGUUCAUAUCGACGGCGGUGUUUGGCACCUCGAUGUCGGCUCAUCACAUCCUGGGGCUGAAGUAGGUCCCAAGGGUAUGGCUGUUCGCCAUUUAAAGUGGUACGCGAGCUGGGUUUAGAACGUCGUGAGACAGUUCGGUC
rnacentral:rRNA from 1 species